ACGCUGGCGGCAUGCCUUACACAUGCAAGUCGAACGGCAGCACGGAGCCUGCUCUGGUGGCGAGUGGCGAACGGGUGAGUAAUAUAUCGGAACGUACCCUAGAGUGGGGGAUAACGUAGCGAAAGUUACGCUAAUACCGCAUACGAUCUAAGGAUGAAAGUGGGGGAUCGCAAGACCUCAUGCUCGUGGAGCGGCCGAUAUCUGAUUAGCUAGUUGGUAGGGUAAAAGCCUACCAAGGCAUCGAUCAGUAGCUGGUCUGAGAGGACGACCAGCCACACUGGAACUGAGACACGGUCCAGACUCCUACGGGAGGCAGCAGUGGGGAAUUUUGGACAAUGGGCGAAAGCCUGAUCCAGCAAUGCCGCGUGAGUGAAGAAGGCCUUCGGGUUGUAAAGCUCUUUUGUCAGGGAAGAAACGGUGAGAGCUAAUAUCUCUUGCUAAUGACGGUACCUGAAGAAUAAGCACCGGCUAACUACGUGCCAGCAGCCGCGGUAAUACGUAGGGUGCAAGCGUUAAUCGGAAUUACUGGGCGUAAAGCGUGCGCAGGCGGUUUUGUAAGUCUGAUGUGAAAUCCCCGGGCUCAACCUGGGAAUUGCAUUGGAGACUGCAAGGCUAGAAUCUGGCAGAGGGGGGUAGAAUUCCACGUGUAGCAGUGAAAUGCGUAGAUAUGUGGAGGAACACCGAUGGCGAAGGCAGCCCCCUGGGUCAAGAUUGACGCUCACGCACGAAAGCGUGGGGAGCAAAC
rnacentral:rRNA from 1 species